UACGGGGGGGGGCAAGCGUUGUUCGGAAUUACUGGGCGUAAAGGGCUCGUAGGUGGCCAACUAAGUCAGACGUGAAAUCCCUCGGCUCAACCUCGGAACUGCCUUUGAUACUGCAAAUCUCGAGUCCGGAAGAGGUGAGUGGAAUUCCUAGUGUAGAGGUGAAAUUCGUAGAUAUUCGCAAGAACACCAGUGGCGAAGGCGGCUCACUGGCCCGGUACUGACGCUGAGACGCGAAAGCGUGGGGAGCGAACAGG
rnacentral:rRNA from 1 species